ACAAGCCUUGCAUAUUCAUGCUUUAUCGAAGUUUCUUUUGCUAACCUCCUUCAAUGCUAUCUUUCUGUCCCUCCCUCUUUCUCAGUAUCUCUCACCCUCUUCCUUCCUUUUCACUGUGACUGACAGUCAGUUCUCUCCACUUGGGGUCGAUUACUGUAAUGCUACUGUGACCAAAACAGAAAAAAGGAAAAAAAUAAUUUGAAAAUUCUAAAACUAAACUUGCCUUAUAUGCCACUCAAUCCAGAAAACCUGGGUGGACUCGGUGCUCGAACUUUCCCCCCCCUCCCUUCUCACUAGCUCUCGUUCUAUUGCCCCCUCUCUCCUGCUAAAGUAACGGGAGUGGAGAGAGAAGGGCAAAGACAGCAGACAGUAAAACUCUCUACCCGCUUUUGUGGACUUCUGUGAUGUGUUUUCAUGUCCUUUUCUCAUCUCAGUGAUCAAGAUCUGAUGAGCCUGAAUAUGAGAGAUUUUAAAGAAAAAGGACUGUGGGGGCGCACCCAAUCCCUUCUGGACUGACUUCGGUUCGGAAGGCUGCUUCGUGUCUGUCCUCACACACCACACACACACACACACACACACACACACACACACACACACACACACACACACACACACACACACACACAGGCUCUCAAUUCAACCCAGCCACAUACUUGGGGGGCAGCGUCUGAGGAUUUAGCCCAUGUUACCAAAUGGAACAGUAAAAGAGAACGGGCUAAAGCCCCAUGCAGAUCACCUUGCUUUCCGGAAUGGUGUUGAACCAUAAUGUUCUACAACAGCAUGUCCUUUUAAGAGACAAGUAGUGACCCAGUCUGUGACGCGGUUCUCACUACGUCACAUCUCGCCACAGCUCCUAACCAAUCCGCAGCCUGAUUUUCUAGGGGGCAGAUAAAAUAUACGUAUAUAUAUUUAAUUGCAUAUUUUCAAUACACACAUAUGUUGCAUGGUGCCUUGCGCAAGGGUCACCUGAGGACAAGCUUCUGCUCACACACUGCCAGGCAACUACUAACAUCUUGAGCUUCAACAUGGCCUGGCACAUCUAAAUACUUACUGCAAUAGCAGUAAGUAUUUAGAUGUUAGCAUUUGUAUUCAAACGUUCGUUAACGACGCUCCGGACAACAAAGCUACUCAUCUAAUGUGAAGCUUGUGUACUGUGCUUUUUUCACAUUCCUCCGUCAAGCAUACAUGCAAAUACAAGAUAAACAGGGACACAAUGAAGCAAAAGAAUGUUAAAAAAUAGCUAAUUGCUAAUGCUAAUUCCACACAGAUUUCUCAACAGGCAGAGCAGAGAGUUUGGGUUUUAACUAGGCCAGAGAGCAUCAAUCGUUCCUUCAGAAUACUGGUUACAUGGACAUACAGUAUCACAGCACUGUGCUUUGACCUACAAGUACGUUGUACCAUGCGUUUUUAUAAGUUUUUUUUAUAUAUAGCAAACAAACCGUAAUGGACAAAUGCACUGUUCACUCAUAAGCAUUCAAACCAAUCCAGUCUCCCACACUCAGGCAAUGUAUAACACAAAAUGGCCACUACCGCCAUCUCACAGACACAGUCGGCUAACCCUUUACUGUCAUUGAGGAAAACAACAACACUGAACAUACUGCGAUUUUCAAUCAAAUAAAGCUGAUUCUGGAACAA